CCAGAAUUUGAGGAAGGAGGAGCAGCCACCUUUUCUCCAUUGAUCAUCAGCCCGCACCACCAGUAAGAGCAGGAUAACACCUUGGUUUGCGUAUUGAAGGUUCGGUUUAUGAUUAUUUUUUUAUUGAGAAUUGAUAAUUUCAUGUGUAUUUUAGUUUAUGACUUAUCUUUUAUUCUAUGAUUCCAAGUUUCGAUAUUCAUUUAC
rnacentral:lncRNA from 1 species